ACCUGUUCCUUGCUCCUUUUCUCACUAGUAUUUAUGUUCUGCCCAGCAACACCAGACUGCUUUUUCUGCCUGCAGUCUAAAAAGAACUCCUUCUUGUGUCUGGGGAAUACCAAGGAUCCUGGCUCACUGCAGACUUUUAAGUCCUGGAGAAUAGUGAGCAGAGAGCAUGCUACAGCAGUGCAGGCUUCAUGGAUCAUCCUCACAGCUAUGUUAUAUACCUGCAAAUUCCUCCAAAAUGGCAUUUAUGCUGUUCAUAACAUGCACAACUGAGCAACCUGGAAGCUGGAGUCUUGGCAUGAAAGGACUACAGGAACAAGCUCUUAGGCCCCAAUUCAACAAAGUACUUAAGCA